AUUCAUUGAUGCUGCUGAGCCUAGCAGGUCACAUAGGAGCAACAUGAAGGGAAUAGGUCUUCGGUUUCUCUAUCUGUACAAGGGGCCGGAAAGGCGCGUUCAGUGCUUCAGAGAUGCUGACUGAAUUCAAACAAGAGUUGGAGAAAUCCAAAGAUAUGUGAACUUUGACCUUAAAGAGUUUCUGGAUAGUAUCGGUGAUGUAGAGUGAGGAGUCUCAGGAUCAGACAGAUUCACACGGAUAAAAGAAGCUACUUUGGAAGUAUGAACAAAUUCCCUAAAGUGGAAGGAAGAAAUUGAUUUGAGAAUAGGGAGAACUUGGAGGCAGCACUAAGAAGGAGAAGACCACCAGACUGACUCCUCAAUCUCAUUCCUACCCCAUUUGGAGGCCAAGAUCCGCCAGACACACAACCUUGCCCGCCUCCUGACCAAAUAUGCAGAACAACUUCUGGAGGAAUACGUGAGUGCAGCAACAGGGAGAGCCCUUUGGGCUGCCGGGCUUCUCACCACCGCGGCUGCCGCUGGCCGGCCUGAGUGGCCCGGCUCCGAGCCAUGCAGGGCUACCGGUGUCCGAGCGGCUGCGGCAGGAUGCAGCCGCCCUGAGUGUGCUGCCCGCGCUGUUGGAUGCCGUCCGCCGCCGCCAGGCGGAGCUGAACCCGCGCGCCCCGCGCCUGCUGCGGAGCCUGGAGGACGCAGCCCGCCAGGUUCGGGCCCUGGGCGCCGCGGUGGAGACAGUGCUGGCCGCGCUGGGCGCUGCAGCCCGCGGGCCCGGGCCAGAGCCCGUCACCGUCGCCACCCUCUUCACGGCCAACAGCACUGCAGGCAUCUUCUCAGCCAAGGUGCUGGGGUUCCACGUGUGCGGCCUCUAUGGCGAGUGGGUGAGCCGCACAGAGGGCGACCUGGGCCAGCUGGUGCCAGGGGGCGUCGCCUGAGAGUGAAUACUUUUUCUUGUAAGCUCGCUCUGUCUCGCCUCUUUGGCUUCAAAUUUUCUGUCUCUCCAUCUGUGUCCUGUGUGUUCUUGGGCUGUCCCUAUCUUUCUGCAUUUGUGUGGUCUCUCUCUUCUGCUCUCCUCUCUGCAGGGAGCUUCUUUUUUCCAACAGUUUCUCGUUUUGUCUCUCUCCAGUCUUGAACACUUUUGUCUCCGAGAGGUCUCUUUUUGUUUCCUUGUCUCUUGGUUCUUUCUUUGCUUGCUUGCUUGCUUGCUUGCUUGUUGUUGAGACAGGGUCUCACCAUAUAGCUCUGGAUGGCCUGGAACUUGCUAUGUAGGCCAGGCUGGCCUCCAGCUCAUAGAGAUCCACUUGCCUCCGACUCCCAAUUUCCCCAUCUGUCUCCCUGUGAUCCAUAUGGGUAUGUGUAACCCUUACUUUGUCUCAUGGAGGUGACAAUUUUUCUCCCUUCAGUUUCUUUGUUCUUUACUGACCAGAAAAGUGCCUACUUGUCCCCUGGUGGCAAGGCCAUUCACCUUAGGACCUUCCCACCAGUUCCUUUGUAGGCAAAUCCCUCCCCCUUUGAGGUCCUUCCCUUUCAUACCGCCCUAGGCUGGUCAAUGGAGAGAGAAAGGCAGAAAAACAUCUUUAAAGAGUUUUAUUUGAGAAUAAAUUAAUUUUUGUAAAUAAAAUGUUUAACAAUAAAACUAAACUUUUAUGAAA